GCCGGGAGACGCACAGAAGAGUCAUUGGAAGGUGGAGGCAGUGAAGGUGAGUCUUUCAUUCUGAAUUUUUGUCAAAACUCCAUUUUAGAGAAAAUUACACAUUGAGAACCUCAGAAGGGUGUAUUAUAAGGUUUUUGUUUAGCCUAUAAAACUGAAACAUAAAAAACCCACAAUAUUAGUUGAGGAGAAAAAUGGUGACAGAAAUGAGAUAUAAUCUACAUAAUGAUUUGGUAAAGAGAAGAGCCGGUCUCUGUUCAGACUGCUCCUCCGUUGGUGAUGAAGCAGAAACAAUACAAACUUGUGAUAAAAGUACAAGUACUCAUAUCUUAUAAUUGCACUCACUUACCGGUUUAUUGACCAACAACUGUCGUGCAGUCAGGACCAAAAGCAACAUUAUUGGGCUCCACGGUCUGCUUUUCUAUCUCACUGUUCGAGGGGCAGUUAUUGUGUGCGUCACAGAAACAAAAGGUCAAAGGUAACGGGGUGAGUGGGGGGUGUUGUCAUGUCAUCUCUCUUAUGAAAUAACACUUUUCGGGGUCUGUGAGUGUACUGUGUGUUUGUGUUGCCUCCUAUUUACUCUGCUUGGUCAUUAGUUGGUGUUGAAGCUCACAGAGGAAGAGGGUACAGGUGCUUCGCAUUUCACUGAUUACCUGAAGGCGUAUUUAGACUGGAAGGUGCUAGCACUUCGAUGCCUGAGUAUUAGCCACCAGUGAUUGUGCCAGAUCUGGUUGAGUUCAAGCUGGUCUCCUGAAUCUUCUUAAAGAGUGUUUUGUGACUUCUUGGAUAAGGAAUCAAGUCUCCAGUUAUUUCCUCUGGAUCAAGUUCAAGCUGGUAGCUUCCUUGCUCUUCGACCACCCGGAUCAAAUCAAAAGCAAACCCUGUCCAACUCUCACACAGGUGCCUCCAACCUGGGCUCUACACCAUCAAUCCACUCUCCGUGAUCAGAGCUCCUAAGGAUAUACCCUCACAGAACGUCUCCUGCGUUGUGCUCUCAGACCCCGCAUCUCUUAUCACUCCGGAGAUUCAUCUUCCUUCCCCAUUGGAGAAUUACCGGUCCCGGACCCCAGACCCAUUUCAC